UGAUAUGAGAGUUUGAUCCUGGCUCAGGAUGAACGCUGGCGGCGUGCCUAAUACAUGCAAGUCGAACGAGUUCUGGUUAAUGAUGGCGGUGCUUGCACCAAUAGAUUUAACAUUUGAACGAGUGGCGGACGGGUGAGUAACACGUGGGUAACCUGCCCUAAAGUGGGGGAUAACAUUUGGAAACAGAUGCUAAUACCGCAUAAAUCUUGGAACCUCAUGGUUCCAAGCUGAAAGAUGGCGUAAGCUAUCGCUUUUGGAUGGACCCGCGGCGUAUUAGCUAGUUGGUGAGGUAAAGGCUCACCAAGGCGAUGAUACGUAGCCGACCUGAGAGGGUGAUCGGCCACAUUGGGACUGAGACACGGCCCAAACUCCUACGGGAGGCAGCAGUAGGGAAUCUUCCACAAUGGACGAAAGUCUGAUGGAGCAACGCCGCGUGAGUGAAGAAGGUUUUCGGAUCGUAAAACUCUGUUGUUGGAGAAGAACGUACGUGAGAGUAACUGUUCACGUAGUGACGGUAUCCAACCAGAAAGCCACGGCUAACUACGUGCCAGCAGCCGCGGUAAUACGUAGGUGGCAAGCGUUAUCCGGAUUUAUUGGGCGUAAAGCGAGCGCAGGCGGUUUCUUAAGUCUGAUGUGAAAGCCCUCGGCUCAACCGAGGAAGUGCAUCGGAAACUGGGAAACUUGAGUGCAGAAGAGGACAGUGGAACUCCAUGUGUAGCGGUGGAAUGCGUAGAUAUAUGGAAGAACACCAGUGGCGAAGGCGGCUGUCUGGUCUGUAACUGACGCUGAGGCUCGAAAGCAUGGGUAGCGAACAGGAUUAGAUACCCUGGUAGUCCAUGCCGUAAACGAUGAAUACUAAGUGUUGGAGGGUUUCCGCCCUUCAGUGCUGCAGCUAACGCAUUAAGUAUUCCGCCUGGGGAGUACGACCGCAAGGUUGAAACUCAAAGGAAUUGACGGGGGCCCGCACAAGCGGUGGAGCAUGUGGUUUAAUUCGAAGCAACGCGAAGAACCUUACCAGGUCUUGACAUCUUCUGCUAUUCUAAGAGAUUAGAAGUUCCCUUCGGGGACAGAAUGACAGGUGGUGCAUGGUUGUCGUCAGCUCGUGUCGUGAGAUGUUGGGUUAAGUCCCGCAACGAGCGCAACCCUUAUGACUAGUUGCCAGCAUUAAGUUGGGCACUCUAAUCAGACUGCCGGUGACAAACCGGAGGAAGGUGGGGAUGACGUCAAAUCAUCAUGCCCCUUAUGACCUGGGCUACACACGUGCUACAAUGGAUGGUACAACGAGUCGCAAAACCGCGAGGUUAAGCUAAUCUCUUAAAGCCAUUCUCAGUCCGGACUGUAGGCUGCAACUCGCCUACACGAAGUCGGAAUCGCUAGUAAUCGCGGAUCAGCAUGCCGCGGUGAAUACGUUCCCGGGCCUUGUACACACCGCCCGUCACACCAUGAGAGUUUGUAACACCCGAAGCCGGUGGGGUAACCUUUUAGGAGCUAGCCGUCUAAGGUGGGACAGAUGAUUAGGGUGAAGUCGUAACAAGGUAGCCGUAGGAGAACCUGCGGCUGGAUCACCUCCUUU
rfam:Lactobacillus saniviri JCM 17471 = DSM 24301 NODE_30, whole genome shotgun sequence.